rnacentral:rRNA from 1 species
UGCCAGCAGCCGCGGUAAUACGUGGGGAGCGAGCGUUGUUCGGAUUUACUGGGCGUAAAGAGCACGUAGGCGGGUAUGCAAGUCGGUUGUGAAAUCCCCUGGCUCAACCAGGGAACUGCUGCCGAAACUGUAUACCUUGAGUCCAGCAUGGGGAAUCGGAAUCUCUAGUGUAGCGGUGAAAUGCUUAGAUAUUAGGGAGAACACCAGUGGCGAAGGCGGAUUCCUGGGCUGGUACUGACGCUGAGGUGCCAAAGUGUAGGGAUCAAACCGGAUUAGAUA